AGUGGCUGGAAAUUCGGUCACGAUGCCAUCAACAAGCUCCAUGUAAGUAGCAAUCUCAACAUUUGGAUCUGACCAAAAAUCGAAUGCCAGCGACAAGUAUUCAUUUUUGAGAAUAUGGACGAAUACUGUUAGGACCGAACUGUCAUCUGAUUGGAUGAAGACUUGUUGUGUGGCCUGCUUGUCAAAGGUAGCAUUGCUCAAAGCAGCGGUGACAGCACCUACAAUGUCAAGACCCUUCUUUGAUGCGAGGUAAGCAGCAUUCUGUGAAGCAAAUAGAGUUAGUGCUUAGCAUUAGUAGGAAAUUUUCAAAUAAAAGUAAUAUAGGGAAUUGGCGAUGUUGCUCACCUGUAUGUGGAUCAAAAUGCCAAAAACUGCCUUUGUCUUGGCCAAAUCCAAAAAUUCAGGCAGGGUAACAAAUUUACCGUUGUUCUUAUUUGCUGGGUUUCUUUGAAACUCGUUGCCGAAAGGGUUGACCAUUUGAGCUGAAAAGGGAAAUAUAUACCAUUUAAGUUCAUUGUUGAAAAGUUGCAAUUUAAUAUGAGCUAAUGUUGUAAGGAAGUUUUUACGUUUUAAUGUUUGAAUCUCGGUCCAUGUAAGAUCAAAGGAGAAAAUUCCAUUUUUUGGUUGAAGUUCAGGGACACUGGAAGAUCGAGCCAUGAAUUUAGGCAAAGCAGUGCUUAUUUCUAAAAGAUCUAUGGUAUUUGCGCAAAAGGCAAUUCCAUCUUUUGUCAUUUGAACUGAGCAAUCUAUGAUGUCAGCGCCAUCGGUUAUAGCUUGCUGAUAUGCAAGAUCAGUGCUGCCUGGGUAAACACCACUUGAUCCGUUGCUGCUUAUGAUUAAUGUCGGUCCUACAAAAGCAAAUGUAUCGUUAUAGACUUGUUUGUUCUUUGUUUUUUCAUGUCAUAACUGUAGGAUUGAAGAAAACUUGACAUUACUUAUAAUAUAUAUACCUUUUUUGGGCAAAGUGUUGUUGUGCGCAAAGCACCCUGUAAAAAAAAA